AUGGUCCUGGACAAGAGGGCUGGGAAGAAGCGGGCAGCAAGGGGAGGAUUCUGCCCCAGACGUCCCCAGGCCGGGGGUCCCCAUGGGCUCUGCCCUGACGUCUUACUCCUGCACCCAGCGGCUCCCACCACAGAGACUGCUCCAGGUGAGGGUACCACACUGAGCACAGGUCAGCCUGUGUCUCCCGGGAGGCUCCUGGCACAUCACAGUUGGGGCCCAGAGGAGGCCCCGGCCGGUGGGGGGAGUGGCCCUGGCUUGUCUCUUUCCCUGCACACGGACUGGAGCCCUGCCCUGAGUCCCACGGGGACUUUGCGGGGGAACUUCUCGAAGGUGCUGUGGGGGCAGAGGGAGGUGGUGGAGCCAGCCAGGCUCUGGGAGGCCCCAGAGAAGCUCCCACUGCCCACCUCAGUCCUAGCUGGUUUUGGGCCCUGGGCUGGGCCCCCACAGGCUCCAAAGGGAAAGGUUGUCCAAGGGAAAGCCCUGGAGGCCGCUGGUAUCCGGGUAGGACACACAGAAGGCUACCAGGUGCUGUGGGGGCCCUGGGGUCCGGCACUUGAGGCAGACAGGUCCACUGGCUUGCGAAUGUCCUGCUGCCCCCGCACGUGGUGGUCAGGACCCGGGAGGGCUGCCCCUCCCCCCCCAUUCCACACCUAGUGAUAACCUAG
rnacentral:lncRNA from 1 species